GAUGAACGCUGGCGGCGUGCUUAACACAUGCAAGUCGAACGAUGAAGCCCAGCUUGCUGGGUGGUUUAGUGGCGAACGGGUGAGUAACACGUGAGUAACCUGCCCUUGACUCUGGGAUAAGCCUGGGAAACUGGGUCUAAUACUGGAUAUGACUUCUCAUCGCAUGGUGGGGGGUGGAAAGAUUUAUUGGUCUUGGAUGGACUCGCGGCCUAUCAGCUUGUUGGUGAGGUAAUGGCUCACCAAGGCGACGACGGGUAGCCGGCCUGAGAGGGUGACCGGCCACACUGGGACUGAGACACGGCCCAGACUCCUACGGGAGGCAGCAGUGGGGAAUAUUGCACAAUGGGCGCAAGCCUGAUGCAGCGACGCCGCGUGAGGGAUGACGGCCUUCGGGUUGUAAACCUCUUUCAGUAGGGAAGAAGCGAGAGUGACGGUACCUGCAGAAGAAGCGCCGGCUAACUACGUG
rnacentral:rRNA from 1 species